CACAAAUCAAGCCCUGCUUGGUAUUGGGUGAAGCCCUCUGGGGCCCGCCUCAAACCCCUCGGCGUCGCCGUCCGUCCUCGAGCGCAGCGAGAUAACUUUCCAGCGUUUUCGAGAUGGGCCACGUCCGCCGCAGAACAUACCUUUUUUUCUAUCAA
rnacentral:misc_RNA from 1 species